AUAGCCCCCCACUAGAUGACAAAUAAUAUGGAAUGGACAUGACAAAUGAGCCUGUUGUGCUCGCUAUAACCAUAUCCUUUCUGUUGGCUUCACUUAGGUCAAAUUUCCAUUUUGCGACAAUAUCUCUAUGGCUUGAAAUAUGAUCUUUUGAAUCUUGCCCUUUUACCACAUUGUUGUUUUCCCUGUGUGCCUCCUUGUUUUCCAUUCUUUUAAAGGAAAGAAUCUAACUGCUUUCUGUUUUGCUCACAUAGAUAGCUACUGUGGUGGGCCUGGGGAUUUUCCAAACCUGAAAUUUCUUCUGUAAUUCUCAGUUUACACCAGGGCACAUGGAUUGGCUACUUAUGACUGCAAGGUGUUGUAAAUGAAAAUGACCAUCAAGCUAUAGAUCUAUAGAUAAUUGUAGAUGAGUAGAUGCUUAUUUUUCCCAUUUGAAGUCAUUAUCCCUUUUGGCUUUCCGUAAAAUUUGGACAGAGACUCUCUAAUAUACCAGCAACAUUUGUAUCCCACCUUUCUAUUCAGGGUGAUGUGCAUGGAUUACCAUUUUGCCUUAAGAAAAUGCUGUGUGGUAGGGAGGUCAGGGAGAGGGAUCUGGUUCAUACAACACAUGAAACCAUAGUUAAAAUAAACUAUGGUGUAAUGUGAAUGAGCAGCAUGCAGGUAUGAUCAGUGAUUUGCUAUUUUCCACUCCUGCAGCAUGGAAGAAACAAGCCAGCACCUACAUAUGAACCCAGGUUUAUGGUUGGUUUGUUUUUAAACAAAUCAUGAAUGGACACCAAGGUUUGUUUUUGGAGGAAACAAACCACAAGUCCAGGUUGGCAUGUAGCAAUAAGCCAGACUCUGGCAUGUUUCCUUCCUGGCAUGGCUGCAGUAUGAGCUGAGGACAGGCUUUUGAGGACUGUGUGCACUGGCAGGCUGCUCAUUCAUAUGGAACCAUAAACUAUAAUUUAAUCUGACAUGUACACUGGGCCAGUGGCUUGUCCAAAGCCAUGGAGUGAACUUCAUGGCUGAGUAGGGAUUUGAACCCAGUACCAGAGCUGCAACAUGCAUACAUAGCUCUUAUCUGCAAAGACCAGCCCUUUCCUUUCCAUGGAGGGGAGCAGGUCAGCCUGUGUCUAAAUAAACAAACAAACAAAUGCACUCAUGGAUCUGCUUCUACCACAAGGAAUGGAACAGCCUUUGUUGGCAUUGUGUCAAGCUGGUGCUCCUGUUGUCAUAAGAAAUGACUGAACUGAGAUCUAUGACAGUUUAUGGAGAAAUUGUUUAGUGGGAAGAAUGCCUCACAAAAAUAAAUGUUGGUAUAAUUAUGUAACAAUGAUGUAACAUCAUUUUUAAUGUUUUGGCAGUCAGAUGUUAUAAAGGUAACCAUGUUAGCUUGAAUGCUCCUUAUACACGAUUAGCCACCACUUGAAUAAGUAUGAUGAGUGUGUGUGAGAGGUUUAAAUAGUGCAAACUCUGUUGAAACUUGAUAGCAAACCAAAAAAGAGUCAUGUUUACAUGUAAAAUGAUUUUUUUUUUAAGAAGAAAACUACGCUUUUUAACAUAUGAAGGCAGUUUUACAGCCAAAUUACUUUAGGUAACUGAAUUUACCGCUUUUUUAAAAAAAUAACCAAUUCUGAUAAAGGAUGAUGUUGAGAUUUAAAAUAAAAACGCAUAAAACUUGAAACAUCUUGCUUCCUGUGGCAUUGUGUAGUAGGGGACAUAAAUGUACGCAGAAGCCUACAGCAGUUUUAUUUUAACUAGUACAAUAUAACAGCAUGACAACCUGUGCAAAAUAAAUAACUUUUGAAAAUGCAUUUUCUGAGAAUGGAAAUAAUAUUGAAACAUGUACAGCUCUUGAGAGCAAAGGAGACAAAUAUAAUAAUUUGUGGCUUAAUGCUUGGAGUCAUAAAUGUGCGAAAGGGUUUUCUGGAAUUAAAUGCAUAAUACUGGGUAGUAAUGUUAGGGCUGGUUUCUGACAAGUUUCCAUUUUGAGAAUACCUUGCUUCUCUUGUGCAGUCAGUCAGUCAGUCACUUUAAUAUUGUGGGUAUGACUGAGGUAAGAACUAGUUCUACUCAAUAGAAAAUAGUGUAGAAAAAGUGUAGGUAAAACAUAGGAUACAUGGAAGAGGAAGGGUAAAUUUCUUUUAAAUGUUGAGAGAUAUAUUGGAUUCAUACAGGCCCGCCUUCCGGGUAAGAAGAAAGUCAGAAUACAACCCUGGGCUAUAUUCAUUUGGUCCCCUUGCAUUUUGAUCUAGUGGAACAUGUCUGCUAAUGGAAGAGAGGAGGAGGCAUUUUGAGCUGCUCUUUUUCCGUCUCCCAGAAGCUCCCAGCCUUACCCUGCCCAAUCUUCUUUUGAAGGAUCCCCCAAAGGGUGAAGCAUAUGAUAGGCCAGAAUCACCUCCUCUCCUCUUCCAUUAGCAGCCUCUACUAGAUCAACAGCUCAGCUGGAUGCCACUCCUGAAUCUCACAUAUUAAGAAACCCUAAGGAGAGCCAUGCUGCCAUCACCACAUAUUGACACAGUUACACAGUUCCUCUCUCCAUUCUAGAUUUUCCAUGGCACCCUGGAAACAUUUAGAUAGCUGUAUUGCACAUAUCUGUUUGCUUUAAUCACCGUUGAUGUUUUAUGUGUUUAAUAUGGAAUUCCUUACAAUGGAACACUCCACAAAUUGUUAACAUAGCAGAUGUCUGUGGUGCCGCCAGGUUUUCAAGGGAGUCUCCAAAGUGCCUGAAAGGAACCAGAACCGAGUGCGUAGAUGUGAGAGCAAGGUAUUGCUGUCUGUCAGCUUUGUCUCUCUGGAGCAAGCCUUUGUGUCUGGAAUUUUGCCCGAAAAUUAGAACAAAGGAAGACAGGACUCUCCUGCUAGGCUACCCUGGCAGCAUUUGUAUUGUAUUGAUCUUUUGCACUUGCUCUGGUGGGUUUGGCCCCAGAGGAAGUUGCAUCGUGGUUGAUCUUUGCUCAGGGGGAAAUCACGUCUUCAAGUAGGCUUCAUAUGUACAGCGCCUCAACCUUCGCUGAUUGGUUGGUUUAUGUGGGGGGGAAAUAUAUAUAAUCCACUUUAAGUUCACAAUAAUUCUCAAAGCGGAGAACAAUGAUAAGCCUUGUCAUUGGCGCCACUGGGCCCUCUGGGUCCCAUGGCUAGACCAAUUAAAUGGUCCCCAAAGUGCUUUAUGUGGUUUACGUUGAUUGUAAUUUCCUGGUGGAAAAUGCUAUUAAUCUUUAGUGGUCUCCUUUUACACUAGUAAGACAGUACUGCUAAGCAUACUUACUGGGGGACGAAGUCUCACUGAAAUCAGCGGGGCUUCCUUUCAUGUAAACCUGGUGAGGAUUGGACUGUUAAGCUUUAUCUAGUGCCUGAAAACACAUCCUUUCAAAGAGAGCCCUUUAUUUGGUAAGGGACCCCUUUGUGUCAUGUAAGAUUUGCUAAUCUUCAGAUGUACUUGGAAAUGCCCCCUUUCCAAGCAAAGUAGAAUGCACUGAAGCCUGCAACAAAGGAAUCUGCUCUGCUUCGUCUUGGCUGAACCUACCGAGCAAAUCCUUAAGCUAACAGGCCUGUAGCCUCCUUGUUCCAUCACUACUGUAUGUGUAGAGCGCCAUGCAGGCAAGAUGGAGUUAAUUCAAUAAAAUAAAUAUAAAAUACUCUCUAGGCUGUCAGACGGAGCUGGAAGCAGGUCAGAGGUCACAGAGCUGCUUCAUGAGCGCACUAAUCGAUUUGCUGUCAAGGUAGUGGUGCCGGGGUUUCAAGUAACAGGAGAAUUGAGUGCCACUCGGGCCCAAUUUCCAUAAUUGCUCACUGCCUUUAGUGUACAACCUUUUAUGAAACACAAAAAAUAUAUCACUGAAUUGUAUUGAUUAGCCAUUGGGUUGAAUAAUUCACUUAGUAUUUAUUACCUGACCCUCAGAGGUUAAAUAAAUCCACUAUCUAACUUCAGCUUGUGAAAAAUAUUACUUAUUCAUUGAAAUGUGGACUGAUUAUUACACAAUAGGACCCUAUCUCUGUUGUACUUUUCUUCAGUCUCUCUCCCCACCCCUCUCUCUCUUAAAGCAACUCCAUCCUUUCAUCCUUGCCACUCUAUAAUGGCAAUGUUAAAAAGAAAUAUUUAUUGAUAGCCAGCAGCACUUUCUAAAAGAAAUACAGUAAAUCUACAAUGAAAUCAUGUAUUGUCUUCUGUUUGAAGUCCCCCCCAUCCCCACUUUUUCUCUCUUUUUGCUUCACUUCCAUGUUUCUAAAUAUUUGGAUGAAAUUUCAGGAAGACUGCCCCUGCAAUUUAAAGACAGUGCUAAAAACGAGUUAUAAACCAAAAUUGUUUAGGAAAAACACAGCUUUAUAAUCAUUCUCUUUCUUUUUUUUAAUGAUGGGACAGUAUUCAUUUUGGUAGUUCCUGAAAGGCAUGAAUCAGACUUCCUAUCCUAUUAAACAUCCUCUGAUAAUUGAAUUCCCAAAGAAAACAGAAACCUUUUCUAACAUGAGAAGAUAAAACCUAAACCAGUCAACCAUGGACAGCUCACUGUCAUUACAAUAAAAAUGAUUUCCCUGUCACCUUAAAAUGUUUUGGAUGUAAACCGUAGGGCAUUUUACAGCUUUAAACAUUAAACCAAUAAUUAAUUAUUUUUAUUUACAUAAUGCUUUUAGUAUCUCUGAAGAUGACAUCUUUUUCUCUUUACCAUAAAAUGUACCUUAUUCGCAGCCAUCCCCCUCUCCAGAUCUUAUUAUUUAUCCAAUUACCAUCAAGUCACAUCGUUUGGAUGCAACUGUGAGGCAGUUGAAGUCUUCUCUCUAAAAAAGAUUUCCUAACUUUGUGACAAGUCUUUCCUCAAUUUCCGGACUGCAUCCUCCAGCCCCCUCCAAGUAUUGUUUUUGAAGUUUGAUGGAAUUUACGCUAGGUCAAGUGGAGGAAGCUGUGUGAAGCUUUUUCCCCUUAAAGUGUAAAGGAAAAACCUUAUGUUUUUCUUUGUAUUUGUUGAUACUUGUGUGCGUCUGUAUCCAGGAUCUGGGCUUACAGUUAGCAGCCGUAAGAAACCUGUCCUCUUGGUGAUAUAAUAAAAUAACCUUCUUUUCCUGUAUCACAUAAUGGAAGGAAAAGUCUGUCAGAAAACAGUGGGAUGUAAUAUGCACAAAAUUGCCUCAGGUUUGUUCAGGUGUCCAGCUUCCUGAUUUCUGGGCCUGCAAGUGCUAUAACAUUUCACAUUGUUUACCAUUUCUAUAGCACUUCUUAUUAUACAAACUGGUACUGAGCCAAAAGAGGGCAUGAUUCAUGAAUGUUUUUCUCUCCAAUUAAACAUGCCAUUUUAAAAACUGAUUUUGAGGAAAACACACGGAAAGG